GAUGAACGCUAGCUACAGGCUUAACACAUGCAAGUCGAGGGGAAACGAUAUUGGAAGCUUGCUUCCGAUAGGCGUCGACCGGCGCACGGGUGAGUAACGCGUAUCCAACCUGCCCACCACUUGGGGAUAACCUUGCGAAAGUAAGACUAAUACCCAAUGAUAUCUCUAGAAGACAUCUGAAGGAGAUUAAAGAUUCAACGGUGAUGGAUGGGGAUGCGUCUGAUUAGCUUGUUGGCGGGGUAACGGCCCACCAAGGCGACGAUAAGUAGGGGUGCUGAGAGGAAGGUCCCCCACAUUGGAACUGAGGCACGGUCCAAACUCCUACGGGAGGCAGCAGUGAGGAAUAUUGGUCAAGGGGCGAGAGCCUGAACCAGCCAAGCAGCGUGCAGGAUGACGGCCCUAUGGGUUGUAAACUGCUUUUAUAGGGGAAUAAAGUGAGUCUCGUGAGACUUUUUGCAUGUACCUUAUGAAUAAGGACCGGCUAAUUCCGUGCCAGCCGCCGCCGUAA
rnacentral:rRNA from 1 species